AUUGAACGCUGGCGGCAUGCUUUACACAUGCAAGUCGAACGGUAACAGGCCGCAAGGUGCUGACGAGUGGCGAACGGGUGCGUAAUGCAUCGGAACGUGCCCAGUCGUGGGGGAUAACUACUCGAAGGAGUAGCUAAUACCGCAUACGAUCUAUGGAUGAAAGCGGGGGACCGUAAGGCCUCGCGCGAUUGGAGCGGCCGAUGUCAGAUUAGGUAGUUGGUGGGGUAAAGGCUCACCAAGCCAACGAUCUGUAGCUGGUCUGAGAGGACGACCAGCCACACUGGGACUGAGACACGGCCCAGACUCCUACGGGAGGCAGCAGUGGGGAAUUUUGGACAAUGGGCGCAAGCCUGAUCCAGCAAUGCCGCGUGCAGGAAGAAGGCCUUCGGGUUGUAAACUGCUUUUGUACGGAAAGAAACGGCUCUGGUUAAUACCCGGGGCUAAUGACGGUACCGUAAGAAUAAGCACCGGCUAACUACGUG
rnacentral:rRNA from 1 species